AAUAUGAUUGUAAUAUACUGAUGUGUUGUAAUGUCUUUCUGUCCUCAGGUUCAAAGACAAAGGAGGGAAUGGACGCAGGGGUAAACAUAGUUGCUAACCGCGACCAGGCGAACAUCGUCGGGGACCCCACUGCUGCUGGAGCUGACCUCUUACAGGGAGGCAUGGAGAAUACCGGACAAGCGGCAGAAUAUGGAGGAAUGGAGCAGGGAGGAGGAGGAGGAGAGG